ensembl:miRNA bta-mir-2403 bta-mir-2403
GAGUUUCUUUUGAGGCCGGCCGCUUCCCAGCCAGGCUGAAAGGGCUCGGGAAGCUAGCUGGCCUUGUUGGCCCUU